AAGGGAAACCGGUGUAAGUCCGGUACGGCCCCCGCCACUGUGAUCGGGGACGAAAGAAGCUGAACAACCACUGUCCUUGUGGCCAACAAGGAUGGGAAGGUGCUUUUAGUAGGAUGAUCCGAAAGUCAGGAGACCU
rnacentral:ncRNA from 2 species